GAUGAAGAACGUAGCGAAAUGCGAUAAGUAAUGCGAAUUGCAGAAUUUCCGUGAGUCAUCGAAUCUUUGAACGCACAUUGCGCCCACUGGUAUUCCGGUGGGCAUGCCUGUUCGAGCGUCAUUAUCCUCCCUCAAACCCCGGGCUUGGUGUUGGACCCAAGUUGUGUGAACAACUGGUCUCAAAGACAAUGACGGCGUCCGUGGGACCCUCGGUGCAACGAGCUUUUAGGAGCACGCAUCGAGUUGCAAGGACCUUCCGGGCCGGUCUCCUUUACCAUUUUACAAGGUUGACCUCGGAUCAGGUAGGAAUACCCGCUGAACUUAAGCAUAUCAAUAAGCGGAGGA
rnacentral:misc_RNA from 1 species